AAUAAAUUAAUUUUUUACUUUUUACCUAUAAUUUUUGACUCUUCGUCUUAUUUAUUUUUUUGAUUGAUAUUUUUGUUUUUAUUACAUGAUAAAUUAUGAAUAGUACUUUAGGUGUGACUAAUUUUUUUUCUAAUUUCCUGAAAGUUUUUUAAAAAAACCAGACGGUCAAACGUUGGACACGAAAACCAAAAG
rnacentral:pre_miRNA from 1 species